GGAAGCUUCGAAGAGCUAUUGCCAAUUUCCACCCUCUCUCUGGAAACUGUCAUUAGGGUUAGGGAAACUGUCAUGAGAUCUGCAUAUUUUAGAUAGAGGCUGCUUGCCUUAUUUGGGCACCUAAUGAAAAAGACAUGGAGGCCAGGUGCGGUGGCUCAUGUCUGUAAUCCCAGCACUUUGGGAGGCCAAGGCGAGUGGAUCACCUGAGGUCAGGAGUUCGAGACCAGCCUGACCAACAUGGCAAAACCCCGUCUGUACUAAAAGUGCAAACACAAAGGGAACUGCGUGGCUUGUUUCUACCUGAACAUUGUCAAGUGAUUUCAUCCUUUGAAACACAGUUGUGAAGUGUGUCCAGCAGUCUGAGAACAAGAAGAAGAAGAAAAUCUAAUCCUUCAGGGUGUCUGUGUGCCAGCCCUGCUCUCAGCACUUCCCAUGUGGAACUCCUUUACUUCUCCUAACAACUCCAUGACAUGGGUUAGACUGUGAUUGUUCCCAUAUUGUUGGUAGGGAAACUGAGGCAUGCAGGUGUUACAGAGCUCUCUCAAGUGGCAAGCUUUCUGGGUGGUUACAGAGUGGCAGAGCUGGGGUAUCCCAUGAUGUCACCACACUGCUAUAUGGAAAAGAACAUUAAUCGAGCACCUACGUGCUUGAUUCUCUUAAUUCUGUGACUGAACUCUCAAAACACCCUGGGUUGGUUUCCUUUUUACAACUGCCCAAGUCAUGAGUUCAUAGGGCCUGGAUGGCUGUACCGGAUUGCUCUCCAGCUGGUCUCUCUGCAUCCAGAAAUUUCUACAACCUACUGGGCAGAGCACUGCGUGUUUUGAAAUAUACAAAUAGUGGGAAACGAAAUCUUUGUUCUGGAUGCAGUUAUAAUUUGGAAAGCGAGGAAAUAAAUUAUAACAAGGGGAAAAAACAGACACAGAGGGAUUGAAAUGCAUAACAAUAGAGAUGAAACACGAAGAGUGAUAAAUGAAGAUUGAGUGUGCACACCUUCUGGAGGAGCCCUGAUUGAGUAUUUUAAAAUACUACUAAAGUCAUGCCGUGUGACUUCUGAAGCUAGCUCCUAAGAAGUCCUUGCAGCUUCUGCCUGCGACUCUUAGAACACUUGCUUUGAAGGAUGCCAGAUGCUGUCUUAAAAGUCUGAGCACUCUGAAACCAUCAUGCUGUGAGGAAGCCCAAGCUAACCACAUGGGCAAAAAAGAUGCCCUCUGACUGCCACCAUUUGAGACACUCUAAUUAAGAACUGCCUCAUUGAGCCCAUGAGGCCCUGUGAAUGAUAAUAAUAAAUUGUUUUUAACCACUAUGUUUUUGGAUUUGUUAUAAGUUUAUAGAUAACAAGAAAAAGUUAUAUUAGCAUGGUAAUAAAAUUAUGGAUAUGUGUAA
ensembl:lncRNA LINC00964 long intergenic non-protein coding RNA 964